rnacentral:rRNA from 1 species
AUUGAACGCUGGCGGCGUGCCUAACACAUGCAAGUCGAGCGGUAACAGGUGUAGCAAUACAUGCUGACGAGCGGCGGACGGGUGAGUAACGCUUGGGAAUCUGCCUAUUAGUGGGGGACAACCCGGGGAAACUCGGGCUAAUACCGCAUACGCUCUACGGAGGAAAGCCGGGGACCGCAAGGCCUGGCGCUAAUAGAUGAGCCCAAGUCGGAUUAGCUAGUUGGUAGGGUAAGGCCUACCAAGGCGACGAUCCGUAACUGGUCUGAGAGGACGACCAGUCACACCGGAACUGAGACACGGUCCGGACUCCUACGGGAGGCAGCAGUGGGGAAUAUUGGACAAUGGGCGAAAGCCUGAUCCAGCGACGCCGCGUGGGUGAAGAAGGCCUGUGGGUUGUAAAGCCCUUUCAGUGGGGAAGAAAAGCCUCGACCUAACACGUCGGGGUCUUGACGUAACCCAUAGAAGAAGCACCGGCUAACUCUGUGCCAGCCGCCGCUGUAAU